rnacentral:rRNA from 1 species
GAUGGAGCACGCCGCGUGAGUGAUGAAGGUUUUCGGAUCGUAAAACUCUGUUGUUAGGGAAGAACACCCGGGAGAGGAUCCCGGUUUGACGGUACCUGACGAGAAAGCCCCGGCUAACUACGUGCCAGCAGCCGCGGUAAUACGUAGGGGGCAAGCGUUGUCCGGAAUUAUUGGGCGUAAAGCGCGCGCAGGCGGCUUACUAAGUCUGGUGUGAA